UCGGUGCCGCAGCUAACGCAUUAAGUACUCCGCCUGGGAAGUACGCUCGCAAGAGGGAAACUCAAAGGAAUUGACGGGGACCCGAACAAGUAGCGGAGCAUGUGGUUUAAUUCGAAGCAACGCGAAGAACCUUACCUAAGCUGGACAUCCCAAUGACAUCUCCUUAAUCGGAGAGUUCCCUUCGGGGACAUUGGUGACAGGUGGUGCAUGGUUGUCGUCAGCUCGUGUCGUGAGAUGUUGGGUUAAGUCCCGCAACGAGCGCAACCCUUGUCUUUAGUUGCCAUCAUUAAGUUGGGCACUCUAGAGAGACUGCCAGGGAUAACCUGGAGGAAGGUGGGGAUGACGUCAAAUCAUCAUGCC
rnacentral:rRNA from 1 species